AGUGAACGCUGGCGGUAGGCCUAACACAUGCGAGUCGAACGGCAGCACAGGAGAGCUUGCUCUCUGGGUGGCGAGUGGCGGACGGGUGAGGAAUACAUCGGAAUCUACGCUGUCGUGGGGGAUAAAGUAGGGAAACUUACGCUAAUACCGCAUACGACCUACGGGGGAAAGCAGGGGACCUUCGGGCCUUGCGCGAAUGAAUGAGCCGAUGUUGGAUUAGCUAGUUGGCGGGGUAAAGGCCCACCACGGCGACGAUACGUAGUUGGUCUGAGAGGAUGAUCAGCCACACUGGAACUGAGACACGGUCCAGACUCCGACGGGAGGCAGCAGUGGGGAAUAUUGGACAAUGGGCGCAAGCCUGAUCCAGCCAUACCGCGUGGGUGAAGAAGGCCUUCGGGUUGUAAGCACUUUUGUUGGGAAAGAAAUCCAGCUGGCUAAUACCCGGUUGGGAUGACGGUACCCAAAGAAUAAGCACCGGCUAACUUCGUGCCAGCAGCCGCGGUAA
rnacentral:rRNA from 1 species